rnacentral:rRNA from 1 species
UACGUAGGGUGCGAGCGUUGUCCGGAAUCAUUGGGCGUAAAGAGCGUGUAGGCGGCCCGGUAAGUCCGCUGUAAAAGUCAAAGGCUCAACCUUUGAAUGUCAGUGGAUACUGCCGGGCUAGAGUCCGGAAGAGGCGAGUGGAAUUCCUGGUGUAGCGGUGAAAUGCGUAGAUAUCAAGAGGAACACCUGAGGUGAAGACGGGUUGCUGGGCCAACACUGACGCUGAGGCGCGAAAGCCAGGGGAGCAAACGGG